GACGUAGGGCGCGAGCGUUGUCCGGAUUUAUUGGGCGUAAAGAGCUCGUAGGCGGCUUGUCGCGUCGUCCGUGAAAACUUGGGGCUCAACCCCAAGCUUGCGGUCGAUACGGGCAGGCUCGAGUUCGGUAGGGGAGACUGGAAUUCCUGGUGUAGCGGUGAAAUGCGCAGAUAUCAGGAGGAACACCGGUGGCGAAGGCAGGUCUCUGGGCCGAUACUGACGCUGAGGAGCGAAAGCGUGGGGAGCGAACAGG
rnacentral:rRNA from 1 species